GGAGAGGUGCGAGAGUGGCUUAAUCGGGCGGUCUCGAAAACCGUUGUACCCCAAAAGGGUACCGUGGGUUCGAAUCCCACCCUCUCCGCCA
rnacentral:tRNA from 2 species